rnacentral:rRNA from 1 species
AUUGAACGCUGGCGGCAGGCCUAACACAUGCAAGUCGAACGAGUGGCGGACGGGUGAGUAAUGUCUGGGAAACUGCCCGAUGGAGGGGGAUAAAUACUGGAAACGGUAGCUAAUACCGCAUACCAGCGGAUGUGCCCAAAUGGGAGUGGCUAGUGGGUGGGGUAACGGCUCACCUAGGCGACGAGCCCUAGCUGGUCUGAGAGGAUGACGAGCAAAACUGGAACUGAGACACGGUCCAGACUCCUACGGGAGGCAGCAGUGGGGAAUAUUGCACAAUGGGCGCAAGCCUGAUGCAGCCAUGCCGCGUGUAUGAAGAAGGCCUUCGGGUUGUAAAGUACUUUCAGCGGGGAGGCGUUACUCGCAGAAGAAGCACCGGCUAACUCCGUGCCAGCAGCCGCGGUAAUUC